UGCUUGGAUGAUCUCCUAUUUUAAAUUGAAUGUGCAAAAAGACCAAAAAACAUUUAAUCGGUAUGAAACUUUCACUUUCACUGUGCAGAGUAUUUUUAGCGUGUUUGUCACCACGCAUCUUAGAAAGAAAAAAAAAACAAAAAAAAAAAUGAGUUUGCACUUUUCUGCUACUUUUUGCGUCUUUUUGUUGUUGCGUUGAAAAAAAUAAAUAUCUGAUCUGGAACCGGAAACAAAAUCACUGAAGAAUUUGGAUGCACUCAAACGAGGAAGAGGAUUUCUGCGAGAUCAGCCAAAAAUGCUGUCGUCACUUCCACGGGCAAAACAAGCAACGAAAACGUUUAACACACCGGACACAACCUGAACUCAAUGAGAAGGCAAGCGAAAUCCGUCCUCAUUGCUUUGGUGACUGCUGCCUGAUAAUUACAAGAAUCAGGUAAGCCGUGGAUUCAUUUGAUGACCUGCAGAAAAUGUCCGGAACUCGUCCCAUUCGGCUAUCACGGACGCCUGUAUCACUACGAAGAUGUUGCGAAGCUGCCGGAUUGGAAUAAUGGGCUCAUUUUGCGGAAAAUUUGCAAAUAAUAUGAUGAAUACGGCUGAAGUGAAUGUAUGUAAAGUGUAAGAGAGUAAAAUGCUCAAUAAUAACAUUUAAAAUUAAAGUGUA